AGUAAAAUAAGCUAAACAAGCUCUUGGGCCCAUACCCCAAACAUGUCGGUUAAACCCCUUCUUUUACAU
rnacentral:tRNA from 1 species